rnacentral:pre_miRNA from 1 species
UUUUGGUGCAGUUUUUUUUUCCAACGUUUGAUCGUCUGUUUUAUUUAAUUUUUUUUAUGACUAGUAUUUUUUUUAUUAGAUGAUAAAAAUGAAUAAUACUUUAUGUGUGACUUAUUUUUUAAUUUUUUUAUAAAUUUUUCAAAUAAAACGAAUGAUCGAAAAUGGAAAAAAAAACUGCAUUUAAA